ACAAGGGGCAAAGAUCAGGUGUUUCCUAAAGAGCAGAGUGCAUGAUGCUUAUCAUUAGUGAGCUUACAGGCAGCCUUUAACUCUCUCACUUGAACAAAUCACCUGAUUGUGACAGUGAGCUUUUUUCACAAAGUGAAUAGUUCCACCCAGGGCUGGCCACACACUCAUUCCUCUGGGACUCGGCCAGAGAAAGAAACACAAAGCACAUUUUCAGAGUGGAAAUAUUUACAAACCAAAGGGGACGGAUAUCUGCCUACUCAAAGCUACAGUGGAACCGAAGAGAGAGGGAGAGGAGGCUAGUUUCUCCAGCCCCAGGGACUGGUUCUGCUAGCAGUCACUGCUUAUUUUCUUCCCUAUCAGCCCUUGUUGGGUUUGCCUGGACUUGAAUCGUGAAAAGAAGCUAAACUCCCAGUUUGGGAUGGCUGAGUGUCAGUGUGUUCUCUGGUGCAUCUUCUGGGUGUUGGUCCUCAUCUUCCUUGGCUGGCCAAUAAGCAUUUUCCUUGGUGCCCUGUAUGGGUUUCUGUCUCCUCUCACCACCUGCAUAGGACUGGACAAGUUCACUGAUCUUCUGCUCCAAGGAGUCAACCUGGGCAGGACCUGUGCUGAAAAUGCCCGUACCGGCAAAUCAUUGUGCUAGGGGGAAGGAGAUGGACUCUCGGCAACCUGAUCAUAAAUUUCAUCUCAAUCCAAGAACACAUUCCAGCCUCUGUCUGCUUCUGCAGGGCAGGGGUCCUUCCCAGCUGGGAAGCCACAAGAUUAAUCUAACACAAUGAUGGUGCUGUAUCUCCCAAGUUUCUUGUUUAGAAGGAACACAUACUCCAGCAGGAAGAUUUCUUUAUCAGGCAGUUAUUAAUUGGCUUGUUAUAUGUCAUGUGUCCGUUCUGGCACAUUUUAUAUCAUGACAUGUAUUGUAACUAGUUUGUACUCAUAUAUGGAAUAAAAAAAAUCAGAUGUUUCAA